rnacentral:lncRNA from 1 species
UGUGGAGAAGGCUAGAGGCUAGUUCUAUCUUGGAGCUCCCCUCAGACAGCUUCUCUUCAGAUCGGUCACCUUUGUAACGGAGGACUUGGUUUCUGAAUCUGUGACUGUUCUCAGAUUUCCACACAUCCCAGAGGGAAACAGAGAAGGAAACCUCAUCAGUUCCAUGUCCCUUCAGAAGACUACAAACUUCCUCAGGACAGGAACUUUUAUCUACUUCAUAUAUACCCAGCAGCUGGCAGCAUGUCUACCACAAAGGAGACACUUAAUAAAUACUUUUUCCAUUGUCUUACACUGGAUGUGUCCAAACAAAAUAACUGAUUUAAAAUAAAAGUCAUUCCAGACCAAUGUGAUAAAAUCAUCAGGUUUUUGAAAUAUUCUUAAUUCACAGGGAGUAUCCACACAUAUUAUCCAAAUUGAUCGGAAUUAUCCUGUCAAGUUAGCUGGCAUAGGAAUGAUGCUUACACUACUUAUGCU